GGGCUUGUGGCGGAAUUGGCAGACGCGCUAGAUUCAGGUUCUAGUGAGCAUUAGCUCGUGGAGGUUCGACUCCUCUCAGGCCCA
rnacentral:tRNA from 1 species